AGCUUCUGUGGGCCGCAUACUGUGUGCAUGGCUCGGGGAGCCACGGUGAGGCCUCUGAACUCACUGUGGAGAGCAAGGGACAGAUGGGUAAACAGGCAAUUAUGACCCAGCAGGAUUGCUGCUGCUUGUUCCUUUAUUGAGGAGUUCCAGAGCCACUGGCAGAUUGCUAGGAAACUGAACAAAGAGAGAAGAUUGCCCAGAUGAGAUAGACAACCUGCAGAUAAACCCGUGGGAAACCCAACCUCUGAGGAACAGAUGGCCUAGUUUGGACCUUCACCCCGAAGCAGGCCUGAAAUGCUGCUGUUCCAGUAAUGAGCUAUAUGUCCUUG